rnacentral:rRNA from 1 species
AUUGAACGCUGGCGGCAGGCUUAACACAUGCAAGUCGAGCGGGGUGAGGUGCUUCGGUACUGAUCCUAGCGGCGGACGGGUGAGUAAUGCUUAGGAAUCUGCCAUUUAGUGGGGGACAACAUUCCGAAAGGAAUGCUAAUACCGCAUACGUCCUACGGGAGAAAGCAGGGGAUCUUCGGACCUUGCGCUAAAUGAUGGGCCUAAGUCGGAUUAGCUAGUUGGUGGGGUAAAGGCCUACCAAGGCGACGAUCUGUAGCGGGUCUGAGAGGAUGAUCAGCCACACUGGGACUGAGACACGGCACAGACACCUACGGGAGGCAGCAGUGGGGAAUAUUGGACAAUGGGCGGAAGCCUGAUCCAGCCAUGCCGCGUGUGUGAAGAAGGCCUUUUGGUUGUAAAGCACUUUUAGCGAGGAGGAGGCUACCUGGAUUAAUACUCUGGGAUAGUGGACGUUACUCGCAGAAUAAGCACCGGCUAACUCUGUGCCAGCCGCCGCCGUAACAC